GAAGUUGGAGUCGCUAGUAAUCGCAGAUCAGCAACGCUGCGGUGAAUACGUUCCCGGGCCUUGUACGCACCGCCCGUCACGUCAUGAAAGUCGGUAACACCCGAAGCCGGUGGCCUAACCCCUUGUGGGAGGGAGCCGUCGAAGGUGGGAUCGGCGAUUGGGACGAAGUCGUAACAAGGUAGCCGUACCGGAAGGUGCGGCUGGAUCACCUCCUUU
rnacentral:rRNA from 1 species